UGAACGACUGCUAAGACUGGAUAGGAAGAUAAAAGGCAUCUUUUAUCUUUUAAAAGACCUAGUAAUAGGUAUGCUUUAGGAGGGGCUUGCGCCAUAUUAGUUAGUUGGUAGGGUAAUGGCCUACCAAGACGAUGAUGUGUAGCUGGACUGAGAGGUUGAACAGCCACAUUGGGACUGAGACACGGCCCAAACUCCUACGGGAGGCAGCAGUAGGGAAUUUUCGGCAAUGGAGGAAACUCUGACCGAGCAACGCCGCGUGAAUGACGAAGUACUUCGGUAUGUAAAGUUCUUUUAUCAAGGAAGAAAAGCAAAUGGCGAACCAUUUGUUUGCCGGUACUUGAUGAAUAAGCCCCGGCUAAUUAUGUGCCAGCAGCCGCGGUAAGACAUAAGGGGCAAGUGUUAUCCGGAAUUAUUGGGCGUAAAGGGUGCGUAGGCGGUCUAGUAAGUCAGUGGUGUAAUGGCAACGCUUAACGUUGUCCGGCUAUUGAAACUGCUAAACUUGAGUUAGAUAGAGGCGAGUGGAAUUCCAUGUGUAGCGGUAAAAUGCGUAAAUAUAUGGAGGAACACCAGAGGCGUAGGCGGCUCGCUGGGUCUUAACUGACGCUGAGGCACGAAAGCGUGGGGAGCAAACAGGAUUAGAUACCCUGGUAGUCCACGCCGUAAACGAUGAGUACUAAGUGUCGGGUUAAACCGGUACUGAAGUUAACACAUUAAGUACUCCGCCUGAGUAGUACGUACGCAAGUAUGAAACUUAAAGGAAUUGACGGGACUCCGCACAAGCGGUGGAUCAUGUUGUUUAAUUCGAAGAUACCCGAAAAACCUUACCAGGUCUUGACAUGUUUUUGCAAAAUGAUAGUAAUAUCGUGGAGGUUACCAGAAACACAGGUGGUGCAUGGUUGUCGUCAGCUCGUGUCGUGAGAUGUUAGGUUAAGUCCUAAAACGAGCGAAACCCUUAUCGUUAGUUGCCAGCACGUUAUGGUGGGGACUUUAACGAGACUGCCAAUGAUAAAUUGGAGGAAGGUGAGGAUCACGUCAAAUCAGCAUGCCCCUUAUGACCUGGGCUACAAACGUGAUACAAUGGCUGUUACAAAGGGUAGCUGAAACGCAAGUUCUUGGCCAAUCCCCAAAAACAGUCCCAGUCCGGAUUGAAGUCUGCAACUCGACUUCAUGAAGUUGGAAUCGCUAGUAAUCACGAAUCAGCAUGUCGCGGUGAAUACGUUCUCGGGGUUUGUACACACCGCCCGUCA
rnacentral:rRNA from 1 species